UAGGGAAUCUUCCACAAUGGGCGAAAGCCUGAUGGAGCAACGCCGCGUGUGUGAUGAAGGGUUUCGGCUCGUAAAACACUGUUGUAAGAGAAGAACACGUAUGAGAGUAACUGUUCAUACGUUGACGGUAUUUAACCAGAAAGUCACGGCUAACUACGUGCCA
rnacentral:rRNA from 1 species